UCACAGCUGACUGCAGCCUCAACCUUCCAGGCUGAAGCGAUCCUCCCAUCUCAACCUCCCACGUGGCUGAGACUAUAGGUGCUUGCCACUAUGCCCAACUAAUAUUUGGAAUUUUCCUAUACGUGGAUUCCAGAGGGGUGACAGUGAAAC
rnacentral:lncRNA from 1 species